rnacentral:rRNA from 1 species
GACGAACGCUGGCGGCGUGCCUAAUACAUGCAAGUCGAACGCUGAUUUUCUAACUAAUGCUUGCAUUGACUUGAAAAUCGGAGUGGCGAACGGGUGAGUAACACGUGGGUAACCUGCCUAUCAGAGGGGGAUAACACUUGGAAACAGGUGCUAAUACCGCAUAACGUCGCAAGACCAAAGAGGGGGACCUUCGGGCCUCUUGCCAUCGGAUGUGCCCAGAUGGGAUUAGCUAGUAGGUGGGGUAAAGGCUCACCUAGGCGACGAUCCCUAGCUGGUCUGAGAGGAUGACCAGCCACACUGGAACUGAGACACGGCCCAAACUCCUACGGGAGGCAGCAGUAGGGAAUCUUCGGCAAUGGACGCAAGUCUGACCGAGCAACGCCGCGUGAGUGAAGAAGGUUUUCGGAUCGUAAAGCUCUGUUGUUAGAGAAGAACAAGUGGAAUAGUAACUGAUUUCACCAUGACGGUAUCUAACCAGAAAGCCACGGCUAACUACGUGCCAGCCGCCGCAGUAACAC